rnacentral:lncRNA from 1 species
CAGAGGUUAAGGCCUGACUUCUGCUCCCAGUUGACCCAGUCGACCCGGGUUCAAAUCCGCCUGCCGGCUCCUCGGGUGUUUGAGGAGUGAUGAAAUGGGAGGUGGCCCCCCAUCUUAUGGACGGUGUAGGACGUGAUAAUAUCAACUUGCGAGCUGACCAGGAACUAAGUUGAUGCGCCGUUGAUCCGCUAGAUUUGGUUGGAUGCUGGUGGUGAGUUGCCGAACUCAACGAAUACAUUCUGAAGUCGGAUGGGGUGACGGAUUAGGGUGCCCCUCUAGCAGGGGAGAGCAGGGACUGCCCCGGGAAAGGGGGCCGCUGGCGAAGUUAACCACCCUGUAACAACAUACAUACAUACUCAUACAUACGCGCAUACAUACACGCAUACAUACAGACUCACAUACAGUACAUCCACGGCUUGUUGCGGCGGCGGGUCGGUCGGCGACACAUUCCACGCGGCCAUAGCCAGCGGGUUAGCCAGCAGCGGGCUGAGAGCCAGCGGCAGCAUGCCGUACACUUCCGGCGGCAGGGCGGGUAGGAGGGGCCCCAGGGAGGGCCAGGGGCUGCGGUCGAAGGAGGUCGCGGGGUUGACCAGGACCAGCCGGUCAACGCAGCUGCCAAAGGGUGCGGGUUAGGGGUAACGGGGGAGCAGGCGGGGGGAUCAGUAGGAAUCCGUCCGGGCCCGAGGUCUCCCUUGUGUGUGUUGGGGGAGCUGCUCGGCGGAUGGGGGGAAUCCCGGGGUACACCGGAAAGAGUCUGCGGACGGGUAGUAACCCAGGUGGGUGGGUGCAGCUAGUGUCCAUGUAAGCAAGAAGAGCAGAGGGGCCCGGGGGCCCCAGGUCGAGUACAUCAAUAAAGAGGAGAAAGCGGCUACCCGGUACGGUACGGUACGGUGCAGGUUGCACGAGAGAGAGCACAUUAGUCGUUUCAACAGAUUGCCAACUGUACAACUGCAACUGUGAACCUGCACUUCAACCCCUACUCCGUUUUGGGUGUUAAGAUGGAUGUGUACGGCAGAACCCCGGGAGGCCCUCCCGUCGCCUCCCUCCCCCCCACCUCAGCCUCCCCCCCACCUCAGCCUCCUGGCCAGCUCUAUCGCCAAUAUGGCCCCAAACGACUCGCCCAGCAGAUACACAGGGCGGGAGGGGUCCAGGGGGGCCACCUCAUCCUCCAGCUGGGGAGGGGGGGGAGGGAGGGGAGGGGAGGGGUAAGAAGGGGGGCUCAAUUUCACCGAAAUGUGAAUAGGUUGGUUUGGUCGUUGGUCCAGCCCCAUGAAGCAGUACGGCAUAUCCGUACUUUUGCAACUUGACGUCGUGGGUUAAGGACUUCCCCUCCACUGCAGACCACUGGGCACACGUUGCCCUCCUCCGUACAGUGCAAUUCUCUGACUUGCACAGACAGACAGACAGACAGACAGACAGACAGACAGACAGACAGACAGACAAGCAAACAGACAGACAGACAGACAUCUCACACAUCUCCACACACACACACACGUCCGCUCGAGAGCCCAAACCCCGACCGCACUGCCGCCCGCAAACUCGUACCUGAUCUUUCCACUUUCCACUACUACAAUUUCCCCCUCCCCCUCUCCACAGCUUGGGCCCCCCCCUACCUCCCCCCCUACCUCCCUUCACAUCCCCCCGCAAAACCCACCUGCUGGGCCAGUGAGUCCACCAGCCCGUGGAAGGGGGUGCGGUCCUCCGGGGGUAAAAACACAGCACGCAGGUCGAACCGUGUGGACAGCCCGGGGAACUGCCGAUACGCCGCCAGACCCGUGCCGUCGAUACCCGGCAGGUACACCAGCAGGGGGAGGGAGGAUGCGGGCGGGGAGCGGGCGGCCCGGGGGAAGUGGGGGGUGUACAGCAGCGGUCCAACGGAGCUGGGGUCAGCGGCGGCGGCGGCGGCGGCGGCGACGGUGGUGGUGGUGCUGUCGGCAGCGGCGGCGACCUGGCGGCGGCGGCUGAGUUCGAAGAGGUUGUUAAAGAUGGGCCCUAUGGUGGGCUCCCCGAGGAGGGCCUCCCGGAGGCGGGGGAGGUCCAGGGGGGGUGGGAAGGGCCGCGGGGGCCGGGUCGAGCUUUGACUGAUCAGCGCUGCCAGUGGUAAGUCCACCACUGGCGCGCGCCGCAGCGGCGGCGGCGGCGGCGGCGUAGUAGUAGUAGGAGGAGGAGCCGCCUCCGCUGCAUGCCCUUCCGCCUCCCUAGCUGCUGCCCCCUCCGCCGCCGUCACCGCCGCAGCCGCCUCCGCCGGUGCCCCGACCACUUCAACAGCAGCGGCCAGUGCUGUGCUAAAGUGGGCGUUCCCAUCGUCGCCAGCAAGCAGCAUUUCCCGCUCCGAAACCUCGGCGAUUUGAGCGUCCUGUACGUCAACUGCAGCGUCCUCCAUCACCGGCUCCAAAGCCUCUGUGGCCUCCACGACUUGAGCGUCCACGGCGGACUUUGCGGCUAACGGCGAAGCGCGGCGUUGUGUACAUGGCAGAGGCAGUCGCGAGCCAGCAGCGGCCCGCGCCGCAGAUAGAGGAGCGUUCACACAUAUCGGACGCAGCUGAAGCUGCAUUUGCGGGCCCGCUGGUCGGGUCGCGGUGUGCCCUGUCUUCAUGGUCACGGCCAGUCGCUGUCCUGACCAAGGUAGGAUUAAGCGAAAUGACAGUUGUAUGCCGUUAAUGUAAGUUGAGGAAAAUCAGAUAUGUACAACGCGCCGAUAUUGCUAGCAGAUUGCUCGUCGAUCCGCUAGCAGGCAAGAUAAUGUCAGUUGGUCGCGGAUGAUUACAGGUCUCAAAAUGCAGCUGUAUCCAAACCGAGUUGGCUGAGGCAUAAAUCGUUGGAGGAAAGUCAUGUUGUGGCCCAAUCGUUCUUGACCACUGGACGUCCACGCAAAUGCCGUGUAAAUGUACGGCGUCGUUGUAGAACGUUUCUAAAAUUGCUGUUAGCUUAACUUGGACUGCGCUAUAUAUAAUUGAUGUGACAUGCCUAUUCUAUAUUUUCUUAUAUCAUGGGUGCGGCUUGGGCACUAUUUGCCGCUGAAGAUACGCCUGAACGGGUGAAGGGCUUCUAUGAUAAUUUAGUAAAUUUCACAUCAUAUACACUUUAAUCUUCACUGGGUAUAGUCCCUGGACAAUCCUCCUUUACAUGAUAAGGGGUGGUCGCCGGUCGUUGCCGUUACGUUUGAUCGAUAGUUGCAUACAUCCAGGCAUCUGAAGGAAUUUAGUUCAAUUCGCUGAUUUUGUGAUUUCAAUUAUCUGCAAUAUGGAUUUGGUUAGGUCGCCUGCUCUGUUGAGCGCACGGGAAUUGCGACGGAUGGGUUCGAGCGAAUGUGCUCGUCGCGCAUCAAGGAAUGCGCCGCGUCUAGUGAGCUAUGCAAACUGGUUUCAGCAGCAGAGCACGCAAGCUGUGACUGGCGAUGAGAAUUCGGACGCCCCGGCCAGGGUCUCCCGCCCUGUCGUCAGCACCUCAGCAGAGGAGGACUUCAUGCGCCGUGCAAGGAAAAUGGAGCGCCGAAUUGCCAAGCUGAAAAGAUUGCAAGAGCGGCUCAGCCAAUUGAAGGAAGAAUCGGAUUUAAUGCAAGCGUAUGCGGAGGCAUCCGCGGAUAGCGAUUCUGAUGCCGAAGACGGUACGUAACACUUCCUUUUCCCACUCUCUUAAAGACCGCACGAAUAUGCCGACAUACAUCACAUGACAGAAUCUACGGACAUUUUACUUGUUUUUGUAAUCAAAAGCUCCAGGUAGCCUCCUCUCACGUGGCCUCCCUCCCCUCCCCGCCAUCCUCGCCACCAUUGCCAGAGGGCCCGCCCCUGACCGCGGCGCCCUCACCCACAGUCCUCGGUUCCAGCAGCAGCUCCCGGCAGCCCAGUACCCCUCCUCCUCCUCCUCCUCCUAUUCCCAGCCCCAGCUCCAGCCCCAGCUCCCCACUGUCCCCCCCAGCCCCCCUGCGCGCCCCAGCCGCCUCCGCGAGCGCUGAGGAGCUGCGGCAGUGGGUAGCCGCGCUGGUGGCCAAGUCUGCAGCCCGGGCCGCCAAUGCCGGACAGCAGGGCAGAGGCGGCAGUAGCACUGCCGCCACAAGCAGUAGCAACAGCAGCAGCAGCGUUAGCAGUACCAACGGGGCCAGUAGCGGCAGCAGUAUCUACAGGCAAAGUGGCAGUGGCGGCUGGCAAGGGGAUUCUGGCGCAAGGCCCAUGCCACCACCGCAACAGCCGCAACAGCAGCAGCGGCAGCCGUCAGCACCGCCGCCGACUCCAGGGGCCCCUACAAUGCCGCCCUGGGGGCAGGCGACAGCGACAGCGACAGCGACGGGCCCACCUCGCCAGGCCGGCAGUAGCAGCAGCACCAAGGAUAGCACCACCACCACCACCACCGCCAGCACCACCACCACCAGCAGCACUGCUAGUACAGGCGCAGGUUCUGGGGGCAUUGGGGCCGUGCGGCGGUACACGGUGCGCUAUUCGUCGUCCUCCCCCCGACCUCAGAUGGUUCAGCUGCCCUCUCCGGGAGGCCAGCAGCCCGCUUCCGCCGCCGCACCGGUCACGUCCAAUGCCGUACUCGCCGCGGCGCCGGCUGAGGCAGAGGCAGCUAAGCCAACGGCCAAGGCCUCACUGCUGGAAACACCGCCGCCGCUACCGCCGCCGCCGCUGGCGCAGUGGCGGCAGCAACCUCACGCGGGUUCGACUUCAGCGCCGCCAGGGCCCCCGGUGGCGCGGCCACAGGGAAGUCAAACGGCAGUUUCAGCGGCGACGGUGAUGGCGGAAAAUGCGCCCCUCGCGGGCCCAGGGCCUACGACGGCAAACUGGCGCACCGCCGCCAGCACCUCUUCACCAUCCCCCUCGCCAUCCAAGCCCUCCUCUUCCUCCUCUUCUUCCCCCUCGCCAUCCGAGCCGUUCUACUCGGUGGGCGCCAUGUCAAACGAGACGCAACGAUUGUCGCAACCGCAACCGCCGCAGAAGCAGAAACAACCAAGUACGACGUCUACCGCCGCCGGCAGUGCGGCACCGUCAACCCCUGCCGCCGUACCCGUACCCGUACCCGUACCCAGCCCCCCACGGGACCCCAAAGCGGAACUCCGCACAACCAUCUUCCCGGAGAGCCUCACAUCCACAAAUCCGUACACGCUGUACGAUAUGCCACUGCCGCCGCUGCCACUGCGCGAGUCCUGGCAGACGCCGGCGGAGCGGCGGCGGGCUGACGCAGCGGCGACGGCGCCGCGAAGCGGCGGCGGCGGCGCCGCCGCCGCAGCGGCCACUGCCGCCACGGCCCUGGCGGAACGGCCUCGUGACUUGGUGUUUGUGACGGCGGAAGCGGCACCGUGGUCCAAGACGGGGGGGCUGGGGGAUGUGAUGGGCUCACUGCCCCGCGCCCUGGCGGCCCGGGGCCACCGGGUUAUGGUGGUCAGCCCCCGCUACUUGUCCCCCGCGACGGAGGAGCGCUAUGCGGGCCUUACGAAUACGGGCGUGAGGGCCACCCUGGACCUCGGACCCCCCCAGUCGGGGGGUGGGGGAAGCCACGAAGUGGGUUUUUUCCACACGCACAAAGACGGCGUGGACUGGGUAUUCGUGGACCAUAUGUCGUACCACCGAGAUGGCACGCCGUACGGCAACGCGUACGGGACGUAUGGGGAUAACCUGUUCAGGUACGGCGGGUUGGGCGGGAAUACCGGGCGGGUAAGGCGUGGAGUGUGUAGUGUAGCAGGGUUAGGUGUGCGCGGAGGCGCUUGUACGGCAGUACAACAGGUGGGGGUCUCCAGAGGGGAAGGAAGGGGUGGAGUGAAGGAGGCAAGAAUCUCCGGUGGCUCUGUGUUUUGUGGGUAUCAGGCAAACCCAUUUGUCAAAAUUUAUACGGUUUUGGAGAACCGAAAUUACCUGUGGAGCUCUACCACUACUGUGGCUCCCAAGGUCACACGCUGCAGAGCUAUCUGUCAGUGCCGCGACUGUCGUUCUCCAACCCGCCCCGCCCCGCCACCGACCCAAACACCAAACACCAAGCACGCGACAGCACCCGGUGGCGACUCUGCGCCCCCCCACCCGCCGAGGCACGGGUGGACCCCCCCACCCCCCCCUCAUCAGGAGCCUCCCUCCCGCCUGACGCGCCCGCGCCUCUCUGCCUCUCAUUUGCGCCGCCUGUGAACGCGUGUUUUUCGGUGGUCAACCGCUCUAACGGCCUUAGAGCGGUACCAGGGUGUUUUUAUCCCCCGCCGGAACCCCCCGCCUUCCCCCCCGCCUCCCCCCGAGAUUUUUUGACACGACUUGGAGUUUGUCAGCUGCACAAAUACACAUGUGCAGCUCCCACGUCCUCUCCCCCCCUUCUUUUGCCAGCCCUCGGGACCCCCCCCAACGCGCGCACACGCACACACACACACUCCCACACACACACUCCCACACACUCCCACACACUCUCACACGCACUCUCACACACUCUCACACACUCUCACACACUCUCACACACUCUCACACACACUCUCACACUCUCCCUCACGCCCACUUCGUGUCAGGUUCGCGCUGCUGUGUUUGGCGGCGUGCGAGGCCCCCUUGCUGCUGCACAUUGGGGGCCACCGUAGAGGUACGCCCCCUGGACUGCCGUACGGCCAGGACGUGACGUUCAUCGCCAACGACUGGCACGCGGGUUUGGUCCCCGUGUAUUUGGCGGCCAAGUACCGACGACACGGGGUCUUUAAGAAUGCUCGGUGUGUGCUCGCGUUGCACAACCUGGCUCACCAGGUGGGCUGUGCGCGUGUAUGUAUGCGCGUAUGUAUGGAUUUAUAUGCAUGUGCAUAUACGGAAGCUUCGGGAUUGAGACCUGUCAGGGUCGAAAAUCCUUCCAACGGUGGAAGGUAAAGUGCCCCUAGUCGAUGGACAGUGGUGACCUGGGAUAAAGUUAACUUGCGAGCCGACCAGGGAUGGAGUUGAGCCGCCGUCCAUCCGGCAGAUUCCGUUGGAUGCUGGUGGUGGGUGCGGAACCUGAGCGAUCUACUGAGAAGUUGACUAGGGUGACUGGAUGAGGGUGCCCCGAAAUACCGGGGAAGGCAGGGUUUCGCAGGGUAGCGGCCACAGAGUGAAGAUAUGCCCCCCCUCUUGUCCCCACAUCACACAUCAUACACAUGCGUGCUUUAACGAACUGUGUCACGAAUAGGUUCACGUGUAGCGUAAAAGUGUGCAUAUGUCGCGUAUAUGUGCGUGUGUACAUGUGUGUAUGUACGGCAGGGGGGUAGGACCCCGGGCAAAUACCCGGAACUGAUGGACGGGGUGGUGGGCGGGGGGUUGGCCGAAUGAGUGCGGGUUGGAUGUGUGCGCCACCAAGCCCCCCCCCCUCGGUGCCCCCCUUGACCCCCGUCUGCGCCGUACCCCUCACCCCCAUUCCCCCCGUCUCCAGGGAGCCCACCCGCCCAACUGCUUUAGUUCGUUGGGCCUCCCACCGGACUGGUACGGCGCCUUGGAGUGGGUCCUAACCCCGGGUGCCGGGGGCAGCGGAGGGGGAGGACACGAGCGCAAACCCACCAUCAACAUUCUUAAGGUACGGCAGUAAGGGGGGGGGGGGUAGCGGGGAGGUCGCGGGGGGACGGGGGUCUCAGGACAAAGACAUCCAGACGGGAGCUGGGGGAGGGUUUGACGGAGGUGAUGUCGUACGGCUUUCAAUUCCCUUAACGUGGUGAUUCUCCACUUAUCGGGAUUGCUCCCCCCCCCUCUCCCCNNNNNNNNNNNNNNNNNNNNNNNNNNNNNNNNNNNNNNNNNNNNNNNNNNNNNNNNNNNNNNNNNNNNNNNNNNNNNNNNNNNNNNNNNNNNNNNNNNNNNNNNNNNNNNNNNNNNNNNNNNNNNNNNNNNNNNNNNNNNNNNNNNNNNNNNNNNNNNNNNNNNNNNNNNNNNNNNNNNNNNACGGACCCCUACCUGCCCAGGAAUUACCAUGAGGGUGAGAGUGGAAAAGAGGGGCAAAAGGAGGGCAAGGGGGAUUAUUAAGUGCAAUGGGGGAGGGAUUGAAUGCUGAGUGUGGGGAGGAACAUGAGGGGGAGGAGGAAAUGGGCUGGAGUAGGGGGAGGGGGUGGGCAUUGAGAACACAAACGUGGUGUCUAUGCCAUAACCCCCCUGCCGCUUUCCACUUCCCCCCCGGGGGCCAUCAGGGCCCAUACGGCUCGUGGAAUUAUUGGUACGACAAGGUUUUGGAGCUGCGGUCCGCGGACAUUUCAUCAUCGGCAGUUGAUAUAACUUCGCCCCCAUGCGACUGGGUAAUUCCCUCCGUCCGCAGGCACAUAAGCGCCGCCUCUCAGUCCCCCCCUCUCCCCCCCUCUCUCCCCCCCUCUCUCCACUACCGCAGGCAGUCUGGGUGGUAAGGGUUUAUGCAAGGCCGCGCUCCAGGGCGCCCUCGGGUUGCCCGUGGACCCCGCCGCCCCCCUCCUGGGCUUCAUCGGCCGACUGGACUACCAGAAGGGGCCAGACCUGGUGCUGCAGGCGCUGCCCCGGCUGGUGGCGGCGGGAUGCCAGGUGUGUGUGUGUUUGUGUGUGUGGAGGGGGGGAUAUGUAUGUAUGUGGGUACAUGUAUGUGUGUAUGUAUGUAUGUGGGUGGGUAUGUGGGGAGAGGGAUGAAGACGGGGUUGGGGUGGGGCGCUCGCGAUUGGGUCCUCCGACCUGCCCCCGUGUCCCCCUAGGUUCCCCCUAGGGCCCCCCUUCCCCCGCCUCCAUCACCAUCAUCAUCAUCAUCAGUUCAUCCUCCGGUCGGCGGUACGGCCGACCCCGGACAUCCGGGAACAGGGCCCCCGACGUACAGCGGAGGGGGGAGCUACCAGAGGUGGUUGGUGCGCGAGUAGGAGCGCCCCCGUGCAGCUCCGAAACCCUCAAUACGACUGCGAUAGGGGCCACGCUAAGGCCACACAAACCGUGUCAUUAACCGGGGUGUAACCCGGGGACUUCCCCCCUUCCGGCCCCGGCGGCCUCCGCUCCACCUCCAAAACUCCCCUGCGCUCUGUACGGCAGGUGGUGCUGUUAGGCAGCGGCGCCCCCGACUACGAGGAGGCGUUCCGAGCCGCCGCCGCCGCCUUUCCUGCAAAUGUACGAGCGCACGUGGGAUUUUCCGUACCGCUAUCGCACCGCAUCGUGGCGGCCUCCGACAUACUCCUGAUGCCCUCGCGCUUCGAGCCGUGUGGCCUCAACCAGCUGUACGCCAUGCGGUACGGCACCGUACCUGUGGCGCACGGCACGGGUGGUUUGCUGGACACUAUCGACGAUGUGAAGCCCUUUUGGGGCGAGCCGGCGCGGAAGGAGGAGGAGGAUCUGGACGAGCUUUUUGCAUCAGGUACGGCAAAUGCACGAGCCAUUGAGAUGAUGCGGAACUUUGGCCCCUUCCGCGGGUCCCUUGCCGUUCUCCUUAACUCCGUUGUUGUACAUGAUGAGCAGCAUGUUAGCUGCUCUGUGCGUGUUAGCUGCUCUGUGUAUUCCCCACGCCUCCGAGUGGUGCUGCGUGAACGCAUACACACACAUACACACACAUACACACACAUACACACACAUACACACACAUACACACACAUACACACACAUACACACACAUACACACACAUACACACACACGUACGGGAUUUUUGUUGUUGUUGGCUUUUGUUAAAAGCGGGUGUAUGUCUCCGCCCGACACGUCUCACCCCGGUAACCCCCGGGCUCCCCCCCCCUCCCGCCCCCCCCCGCAGGCCUGUCGUGGGGCCGCCGUACAGCCUCCCGCUCCGCAGACGACCCCUCCACCAACAAUGCCGAAUACUACCAGCCCUUCCAGGUGAGACAUGGGGACCAGAGACCGACAUACAUACAUACAUAUUGUUACUUCUUCUAUUGUUACAGAGUGGGAGGCUUCUGGGCCACUUGAAUACAUUGUUAUUUCUACGAUGUAUCAUACCAUACAGCUCCAUCCACCCACCAAUACCACACUGUACUACACCAUACGAGCUGCAAAUACAUACAUACAUAUAUACACGCGUGGUGCGCAGUCUGUUUGCAUACACACACACGUAGCUGCGUGGCGGUGGCGGAGCGUUCUGGAUAUUGGGGUGUAGGGAGGGGAGGGGCGCAUACUGAUAUGUGAGCCCGACGGUGGGCUCUGUGGCCGCCCCCGGGGUUACUAACCGCCGUACGCCUGUGGAACCGGGUCCCCUCGGCCCUCCCGUACCGCCACCCCGGCCAGACGGCAGCCCCUGACGCCGUACCCCUUCCCUCCAACACACACACACCCAUCUGAGCUUGCGCCGCUUCCACUCCUCCUCCUGGUGAUGACCUCCCCAAUAACUCCCCCUCACCCUACCCCCUGAAACGCUCCCUCGCUUCCCCUCGGCCCCCCAACCUGCGAUAAGGAUUACUUCGGCUCGUCCGGUCGGUACGGCCCUGUCGACGAGUACGACGACGAUAAUGAGUACGGAAGCGAGUACGACGAUGACGACAGCGAUCUGCCUGCCUGGCGGCGGGGCCUGGGUUUGGGUCGCAGUCGCGAUCCGGGCACGGGUUGGACCUUCGCGCCCGCCACGGCGGAGGCUAUGUUGGACUCGGUGACGGCGGCGCUGGCGGUGUACGAGCACCACCCCGACAAGUGGCGGCGGAUUCAGCUCGCGGGGAUGCGGCGUGACUUCAGUUGGGAGCGGGCGGCGCGGCAGUGGGAGGCGGUGCUAGAGGGGGCCCACGUGGCGGCGGCGUACUGCAAGUGAAUGUACGGGAAUGAAGGGGGUAGGGGUUGGAAAGAUGAGUAUGUGUGUAUGUAUGUGUGUAUGCGUGUAUGUGUGUGCGGCUGUAUGUGUGUUGAGGUGUGGUGUGUUGGUGUUGGUAGGGUAUUGCUGUACGGCAAUGGGGACCCUGAAGGGACGUGGCAUGGCGAGUCCACCCCUGGAGCUCUGGGGGGUGGGGGGUGGGGAGGUAAAAGAUAGAGCCAAGGGCGCUUAGAGUGACGGUGAUGUGGGGGGGGGGUUAGGGGGGCAUGAGGAAGGUCUCUCUUAUUCCAGAUCCUCGUCAUGAAACACGGGUGUGUUCGUACGUAUGUGUGUAUGUAGUAUGCAUGUAUGUAUGUUCCUGCGGGUUUUUCCAGGGGUGUUGUGUUUGUGGUGUGGUGUAUCUCGUCUGGGGUGCGUGUUUGCAGGUGAAGGGGCGGGUAUGAGGUGUUUUGUGUGUGAGGAGGCGGGGAGGAGCAGGACGAGGAGUAGCAGCAGGAGGAGGGGGAGGAGGGGGAGGAGGAGGAGGGCUAAAGUCACCACCAGAGCAAUACGGGCGGCCCCCGCGAUGUGUUUUUUUUUAACUUCAGCUUCCAUACGGUAACAGGCCGAAGUGGAUGUAUGUACGAGUAACUCCCCCCCCAUGCGAGCUCCGUAGUCACCAGCGAAGUGCAAUGAGCCCUUUCCAGUAAAAGCUGCCUGUCACGCCAAAACAUCUGGAGCGCACGAAUUAUGUGCCACAACCUGGUCGGAACCAUAGAAGCCCCGCACGGCAUACGGCACGCCGAUCCUGACAGGGAGGAACAGCGACCACGCCAGCAACCUCGGCGCAACUCACCUGAGAGGGCAUUGCCAGUCUCAGAGAGAAAAGAGGGCUGCCUUUUCCACGGUGCUGAUUCCCGUCACCGCACUUCUGAGUGCCCGCGGCUGCUUCAAUCAAGGCAACACUAACAAGCACAAUCACUUCAGUUGGAAUCCAGUACGACCCGGCAGUGUAGCAGCAGGCUCUAAGCAUCUGGAACGGCUCAGCGAGUCAUCGCCGUCCCUCAACCUGCUAGACGAGGAACUUGCAGAAGCCGUCUAUACACCCAGCAGCGCCUGAAUACGACAAUUUUAACUCAGGCCCGUCGUCCCCUGCACCAGUACCUCUCCCUCGUUCCUACCCGUCACUCACCACCUCUGAGACCUUAUUUUGGCCCAGCAAGCCCACGCCCCCACCCAAGAUCAAACUCAUCAGCUACAAUCACACUGCCACACAAGACGACGAACGCAUCUACAUAGGUGCAGAGCCUUUUGUCGCCUCCUUCUCUUCAACGGCUGCUGCCACCGGCCCUGUGCUGUGAAAGUGGUGACGGUACUGCAGGACCUGGCCUCGGGAGGUGUGGCGGCAAGACGUGAUUGCAAGGGGGGGUACUCUGUGCUCAAUAAGCAGUUUGAUCCAGUGCAGCACUGGGGUGAGCAGUUCAGUGAUCUGCCAUAUAAGGUCGUUUGGCUGCGGGGAUUACUUAUAAAAUAAGAGCCUUCCUCAAAAGCUCCUGCUUGGUUCAGCUGGCGAAGGGCUGGGAUUACAUAGGAACACAUCGAUACCAACAAUUAGCGUCCGGCGUUUGCGGUCUACUAUAAAUUGUAUAAAAUCAUCCAGACCGGUUUUAGUUAGUACUGUACUGCUGAUAAGUGCUACCUAAAACUGCUCCUGGUCUUAUAGAACCGCUACCUCCUUCCCACCCACCCGCCCACCCCACUCUGACGCACUUGAUCGCUGGCGGAGGCUCCGAAGCCCCAACACUGCCUUGCAAUGUGCCCCCAAAAAAGGAAAACACAUGCGGCGUGGUAAGCGAUACUUUCUUUUGAUGGCCAUGGCCCCCCCGGCUUUUACGGACACACCCGCACUUGUGUGCGGAACUUGUAACUUUAAUGCCUAGGGUUAGGUCGCAUUUCCUUCGGCCGCUGUUAAGGACGUUAAAGGAACGCACGUAUCUACUAAUGUAUGUACGACACAGGCCCCGAAGCCGUUCGAGUCCAUACACAUGUACGGCAACUGGGAGCCCCCCGAUGCAGCAUCCGCAAGUGCCUCUGUCUUCACAUAGCAUAACCCCCGUCGUACUUGGUAUCAAACGUGUCCGUACCUCUUGCCGUACUCCGUCAAACCUGUUUCCUCAGCCUAGAGAGCCGAAAUGCUCUAACCUGGUGCCGCACCUCCCAACCCCCUCCGUGGCACAAACACAUACCCGCUAACCCCCCUCGGGUGUCAAAUCCUUCCCCCAGCCUGAACCCUAGACACCCCCACAUCACACCCCCACACCCACACCCAUACACAUAUCACACACACAUAUAUACAAGCACCUACAUAGUACAUACAGACGCGCACUGGUCACGUCACGCAGUCAGAAGCGUCACGGUCGGCACCGCUCGUCCAUCUCCACCUCAGGGGUGGCAGAGGUCAGCGGGGAGCAGUCAGGUAGAACCAGACCUCAACGUCCCGUCUUGCCCUCUUCGACGUACUUCGACGUCAACUCCUCUCCUCCAAGUCCGCCAACCCCCACAUCCUCCAACUACCUCAACCAGGGACCACUUCCCCCCCCCCAAACACAUGCCGAAUCCCUUCCUCGCAUCACAUGGCGCUCAUCACCCCCUCCCAACCCCCUCCUCUCCCCCCCACACACAGCAAAGCUCUUUCAAUCCACCGCCAUAUCCACCCCCACACUCGCACCCAUAUUCCACAGGCCCCCGGUACCGACCGAGGCCGCACCGCCAACCCCCGACACCGCCAUGGCUACUGCCGUCGCCCCCGCCCCCCCCGCGGUCCUCGCCGUUUGCACCCCGCGGAUCCCUUCAACCCCCAACCUCAGCGCCGCCAUCACCGCCGCCUCCCUCCUCUCCACUCGGGGGUCGAGGGGCCCGCUAGGACCUCCGUGGCGACCCGGGCUGCCGCUGCGGGCGCCCGGGCCCGUGGCGCUGCCCGCCACCGCCCAGGACCGCAGCCAGCGAGCCACCUGGUCCAGCGGGGCGCUAUCCACCACAUUGGCUCCGAAACCAAGCGUAUCACUGCGGGCACACGCUCUGGCAGCCCGGCUCACCGCACUUUCCGCCAGCAGCGCCAUCCACUGCUCCUCCCCUCCGCCCGCGGCCCCCACACCUCCGAAACCAGCACCCCCCCCACCAACACCUUCCGUGGCGGCGGUCCGCGCCGCCGCGAUCUCGUCCCACGGAUCCGCCUCGUACACCGCCUUCCACGCGACCUGCCACUUGCUACCGUGCGCCAUCCUCUCCUCCGGGGCCAUCAGCGCCAUCAGCUCCACCGCCACCACAGCGGCCUCCUUGGCCGCGUCGGCAGCCGCGGCGUCGGCGGCGUCUACAUCGUCCGUGGCGGUAGCGGCGGCGGCGGCGGCGGCAGCGGUGUUCUGGGAGCGGGCCGGGGCUGUUGCGACCGCCAGCGCCUCGUCCAGCAUCAGUGCGGUAUCCCUCGGGCCCUCAUCCGGACUGUGACCCAGCCGGGACUGGGGGGUGGGGGUGCGGGGAUGUGCGGGGACACACACACAUGCAGAAAUUGAAGGGGGUCGAUUACCCACACACACGGGGUCAACAGCGAGAAGCGAAGGAUGUGGGGGGCGCCGUGUGGGGGCGGGGACAUCUCUCUCCAAGUUUCUUUUCUUUGUGAGUGAUGGAGUCCGGGUAGCUUUCCCGGAGCGAUACACAUACGGAUGUACAUACGGAUGUACACACGGAAAGGUACGUGGGUCCACAUCGCGGCGGUCAGGGAGUCCUGGACGGACAGCCCGGGUUGGCUGCCGCCUCGUUGCCGCUCUCUACCCAGUGCCUCUUCGCCCACACAGUGCACCACAUAUAUAUGUACAAACACAUACACACACGCACGAGAUAGACACACACACACACACACCACUCGUAACGCAAAAACCUCUCCUCCCCCCGUUUGUUGGCUCCUUCCAAGCCAUCGCACCCGUUGCGACCCCCCACAGACCGCCCCACCUGCAGGCCCAGCAGUCUGAGCUGCCGUACCACGUACUCUUCCUGGCCCACAUCUCCCGCAGCCCGAGCAGCCAUACGUGCCAGACUCAGCUGUCGUACCGGCCCGCCUAACCGACACAUCACAGGGCCCCCGGAUACUGCAGAAUCUCCCGCACGCCGACCCCGGGGGGGCUGCUGCUGCUGCUGCUGCCGGUGUUUUGCUGCAGCCGCCUCAUUCCCCCCCGCCAUUGCGGUCUGCGUGAGCACUACUGCCGCAUCCGCCAGAGCACCGUUCUUGAGCAGCUGUACGGCAAGCAGGUUGGAGGCAGCUGGCUGGCGGGACUGCAGGAAGGCGGUGAUGCCUGGGAGGGGAGGAGGUCGCGGUGCGAGGAGGAACGACAGGAUCAAUUGCUGACACGCGACGGGGUCUGGGCGGGGAGGGGCCACGGCAGGCGAAACACCGCAACGGAUCAGCUAUGUAUGUAUGUAUGUAUGUAUGUAUGUAUGUAUGUAUGUAUGUAUGUAUGUAUGAUGUGUGAAACAGGGGGGUGUAUCUUCGCCCGUGGCAGCUACCCGGCGAAACCCUGCCUUCCCCGGUAUUUCGGGGCACCCUCAUCCAGUCACCCUAGUCAACUUCUCAGUGGAUCGCACCCACCACCAGCAUCCAACGGACUCUACCGGACCAACACGGCGGCUCAACUCCAUUCCUGGUCGGCUCGCAAGUCAACUUUACCCCAGGUCAACCCCGUCCAUCAACUAGGGACACUUUACCUUCCACCAUCGGAAGGAUUUUCGACCCUGACAGGUCUCAAUCCCGGGAUCUCCCGGGGGCAAUGGUCGCGCGCUACCAGCAGUGCCUAACCCCUGUAUGUAUGUAUGUAUGUAUAUAUGUAUAUGUAUAUGUAUAUGUAUAUGUAUAUGUAUAUGUAUAUGUAUAUGUAUAUAUGUAUAUAUGUAUAUAUGUAUAUAUGUAUAUAUGUAUAUAUGUAUAUGUAUAUGUAUAUGUAUAUGUAUAUGUAUAUGUAUAUGUAUAUAUGUAUAUAUGUAUAUAUGUAUAUAUGUAUAUCUGUAUAUCUGUAUAUCUGUAUAUGUAUAUGUAUAUGUAUAUGUAUAUGUAUAUGUAUGUAUAUAUGUAUGUAUGGGGAGGGUGAUGACCCCAGUGCCGGGCGAGCAGCUGGCGGAGGCGGGUCAGGUCAGACAACACCCCGGGAGCGACGGGGAGGGAGGGGGGGGAGGUACGGACUCCCGUACAGACCCAACCUGCCGUGGGAGAGCGCUCUGGGCCGCCUCUUUCCCCUCCCUCCCCGCCCAGCCUCCCCUCCCCCCGCCCGCCCCCCCGCCCGCCCCUCACCCGCAUGGAACUGUUGCGGCAGAUCCAGGAGGUCCGCGGGCCUGCCGUCCUGCAGCAGCCUCUCGAAGACGUAGGUCGCCAGGGCGGUGCCGGCGGGGUCGGCGGGGUCCUCGGGCGGCAGGGUGGCCAUGUGCGUGAAGAGGCGGGAGUACUGGGAGGGGUCGGCGGCGGCCAGCGCCUCACACACCUCGAACAGCUGCGGGUAGCAGUGGUGGGCUCGGUACAGGCCCNNNNNNNNNNNNNNNNNNNNNNNNNNNNNNNNNNNNNNNNNNNNNNNNNNNNNNNNNNNNNNNNNNNNNNNNNNNNNNNNNNNNNNNNNNNNNNNNNNNNNNNNNNNNNNNNNNNNNNNNNNNNNNNNNNNNNNNNNNNNNNNNNNNNNNNNNNNNNNNNNNNNNNNNNNNNNNNNNNNNNNNNNNNNNNNNNNNNNNNNNNNNNNNNNNNNNNNNNNNNNNNNNNNNNNNNNNNNNNNNNNNNNNNNNNNNNNNNNNNNNNNNNNNNNNNNNNNNNNGUGGGGAGGAAAACCGUGGAGUCAGGACAAGGGUGCGAGAGAAUCCCUCGCAGUUUGGAGGGUUGGGGGGAGAGAGGGGUAAGUUCAGGGUGUGUGUGUUAGUGUGUAAAAUGUGCCGUAUAAAAAUAUAUACAUACAGGUUGAAGAAGGAGGUCACAGUUUGCAGAAUAUGCAGAACUUUACCUAAGACAAAUAGUCCGGUAGUAGGCCGUGUGUGUGUAUGGGGCUGGGGAGGGGGCGUGUACACGUAAAACCCUGGAUCUCACUCUUUUCACCACUCCCGCCUCUUGCCCUUGACGCAUACUUACUCCCUCUCCCCCUCCCUUGCCUUCAAUUGUUCUUCUCCUCCCCCCCCCUCUCAUCCUCUCUUCCCCCCUCUUCUUUCCCUCCCCUUGCUACCCCCCCCCACACACAACUCACCAAAUGAGCAUCUCCGCAGGUAGCGGCCCCGACCUCCUCCCAGGUUGCUGCCGGUGCUGCUGCCCCCUCCCGGCCCCCCCCUCUCCUCCCCACCCCGCCGCCCGCAUCUCCGCCCUCGCAACCUCCAGCAGCUCCCGACCGAAGCGGCUCCGAACCUCCCGAUACGCCGCCAGGAGGGAGGACCGGGCGGAGGGGUUGCGGGGGGUGACGGCCGCCACAGCGGACGAAAAACACGUCAGAAGCACGUCCGUGACGCCGUACAGUGUGUUGGAGAGCUCGAUGGAGGGCGGCGAGGGGGGCAUUGGGCGAACCAUCAGAACGGCCUGCGGGUUAGGGAGGUGAAAAGGAAGGUGUGUAUGUGUGUGUAUAUAUGUAUAUAUGUCGGGAAGAGACGAGGAUUCAUAUGCAAAAGCAAAAAAACGGCAACUGCCCGCGCUCAAAGGAUCAACUGCUGUAGUAGAAAGCAACGUCACAACGGCCCGUCGCUCCGAAACUUGCCCCUCAAGAAACCCCUAUGUUAGAGGAAGUGGAGGGGAAACCGGGUAUUUCCCCCUCCCCUCCCCUCCCCUUCCCCCCCACAAGGGCCAGCAGGUCCACUCACCAUUGCCAGCUGUUCCAGCGCCCCCCGCGUGUCCGCCCCCGCCAGCCAGUCCGGUUUCCCCAGCUGCCCCGCCACCUCCUGGCAGCUCAGGUGGUAGCAGCCGGCCAGCUGCUCCCGGCGGGUGCCCGCGUUGCUGAUCACCAGGGACACCAGCGCCCCCAGCUCGCGGACAGUGCCGCGGAGGGAGGACAGGGCUGAGGGGGGGGGGGUGAGGAGGGGAAGGGGGGAGAAGGGGGGGAAGGGGGGCCGGGGGGAGAAGGGGGGGAAGGCGAACCACGUGAACGAGUGAAGCUGCUGCCAGGGCAAAGAGUGUAGGCGGGAAGGGAAGGCGAAGGAGUGGCACAUAUCAUGUGAAGCGGUGCGUUAUGUAGCGCACACUCCGAAUCCUUCUUUGCGACUGCGACUGCGGGUGGUGGUGGCGGUGGUGGUGCUUCUUGUGUGUUUGCGGUGGCGGUGUCUUACUUGGUGUUGUUCUCCACACCGGGUCGGGUCUCGACAGGACCUGGUCCAGAGAGACCUCUCGGCGAGCAGGUCGUGUGCUAAGUCACAUACACGUCAGGAGGGGCUGCGGCGGCGGCUGCGGCGGCGACGUCUUCUUCCCCGUCAUCACUCGGGGUCCUUGUUCUCUUUUCAUUAUACAUACUACAACACCUUACUAAUAUAUACCCUUCGACCCCCUACUACCCCUACCCCUUGCUAUGUAUAUAUACACAUAUAUACAUACGGACAUACACACACGCAGACACAUCCCUCACCGCUGUCCCCGGGAUUCCCCAGGCCUCUAGCCGCUUGAGAGGCCACUCCAGCUGCCGUACGGCCUAUUGCCGCCAGGAAAUGGCCCACGGAAACGGAUGGACGAGCAUAGAAGAUCUCCGUGGGGGACAAAACCUGCCCGGGGAGGAUGGCGCGGGUGAGGAGACAUAUAAACAUACACACAAACCCGGCGGUUCGUGCCGCCCGAAUGCACCAUCAGACCAGGACGCUGAUGCUCCGGAGCCGCACUUUGCGGCCGAGGGAGGGAAACUCAUGCGAAGAACUUAAGAGAUAAUCUGCCGGCGUCCCAAGUCCCCCCCCAAAGAGCCUGAGGGGCCCCAGUCAAAACAAAAAAUGAUGCAAGAGGAAGCAACGGACCAAGUGCCGACGUCCGCGUGGUGAGGAGGGGCGCUUCUAGACAAACCACUGGCGGGUAAAGGAGAUAGCAGAAAGGAAGGAUGGUGGGAGGAAAUCAUACAUACAUACAUACAUACAUUCUGAAGUCGGAUGGGGUGACGGAUUAGGGUGCCCCUCUAGCAGGGGAGAGCAGGGACUGCCCCGGGAAAGGGGGCCGCUGGCGAAGUUAACCACCCUGUAACAACAUACAUGUG